AUAUGCCUUCGGAGGAAAGGUCUGAUGCCGUGACGUAACCAAGGCAGGCGGAGCCGCCACCGCCCAACCCGACGUUGUCACAUUCCAAGGCAAUCACUGCCUUGGCACCGUUUUCCGGUGAGAAUUUGAAUGGAUUGCCCACUGAUCCUCCGAGAAAGAUGGCGCAGACAGUGCGACCAUAGACCGGAGAGCUAAAUCCAAGCUCCAAAAUGGCGCAUGCACCGCAUAGGUCGUCCUGGGUUAGCUCACUUCCUUGGAAAUUAGGCGAUAUGUAUAGUUUCGUAG
rnacentral:misc_RNA from 1 species